AGGAGAAAGUGGGUGAUGGGCAUUGAGGAGGGCACUUGUUGGGAUGAACACUGAGUGUUGUAUGGAAGCCAAUUUGACAAUAAAUUAUAUUUUUUAAAAAAAGAAUAAAGCAAUAUUAUCCAGUUUUCCUUGAAUCUAGGUGUGACCAAGUUAGUAAGCUUUGCCCAGUGCAAUUAUAAAAGGAAAUGGAGUAUGCACAGUAAAUGUCACUAAAAUGAGGAAGCGUAUGUUCAUUCUCCUUGUAAAUUCUUCCACUGUCUGGAAUGUGGAUGUGAUUCCAGAACUGGAACAGCCAGCCAUCUUGGGCAUCGGCCUUAAGAGAUUGAAGCCUCAUCUUGAAGUUACUGGAAAAAUAUCCAAGGACUUUGGGUACCUGAUUAUAUGGAGCUUCUAAAUCAGUAACAGACUGCCUUCCUUUAUAUAAGAGAAAGAACCUGUCCUGUAUAAGAAAUCUAUUGGGUUUUCUGUCAUUGGCAACCUAAUCUAAUUCAAGCCUAAAAAUAUAGACAAAAUGAAAGCCAAAUUUUAAGUUCACUUAUUUUCUUAAUAAGUUUGUUCUCAAUUUACACAUGCCUAGUCUUUUUAUAUCUCUUUUUGAUCAUAUUCCCACUGUGGACUUCUGGAUUCCUGUAGACAUUACCUUUGAUUCGUUUCCAUGGUGCUAAAGGAGGGAGACAGAAGGGGUGAAAAGAGGAUAUACAGAUUUCACUACAAGGUGCAAGAGAAAAUCAUACUGGAAAGGACAGCACAGCUGGCAUAAGAGUGGCAGUAGCAGGAUUCCAAACAUGUUAGACAACAGCACUUCAUCUGGGAGAAACUUAAAAGUUAAAAGCUUCACAAGGCUCCUCUCAGUUGCUUUUCAUGAGGAAGUAGAGAAAUCCACAUGGAAAAGAACUAAAAGCAGCCUCCAGUCAACUGCCUGCAAGAAACUGAAGUUCUUAAUCCAAAAGCCCUUGAAGAACUGAAUCUGAUCAACUGAAUUGAAUCCUGCGAGCUUGGAGGCACAUCUUUCUCUGUUUGAGCCUUCAGAUAAGACCACAGCCCUGGAUAACACCUUAAAUGCAGCAUGGGAGACAACAAAGCAGACAUCCUAGCUAAGCUGUAGCCAGAUUCUGGACUCCCAGAAAUUGUGAGAUAAUAAAUGUGUAUGGUUUUAAGCCACCAAA